ACUCCUACGGGAGGCAGCAGUGAGGAAUAUUGGACAAUGGAUGGAAAUCUGAUCCAGCCAUGCCGCGUGCAGGAAGAAUGUCCUAUGGAUUGUAAACUGCUUUUGUAUGGGAGCAAUAAGGUAUUCGUGAAUACCGAUGAGAGUACCAUACGAAUAAGCACCGGCUAACUCCGUGCCAGCAGCCGCGGUAAUACGGAGGGUGCAAGCGUUAUCCGGAUUUAUUGGGUUUAAAGGGUGCGUAGGCGGUUAUAUAAGUCAGCGGUGAAAUUUUUCGGCUCAACCGGAAACAUGCCGUUGAUACUGUAUAGCUUGAAUAUGGUUGCUGUGAGUGGAAUGUGUAGUGUAGCGGUGAAAUGCUUAGAUAUUACACAGAAUAUCGAUUGCGAAGGCAACUCACAAAGCCAUUAUUGACGCUGAGGCACGAAAGUGUGGGGAUCAAACAGGAUUAGAUACCCUGGUAGUC
rnacentral:rRNA from 1 species